UAAGGUAGCGAAAUUCCUUGUCGGGUAAGUUCCGACCCGCACGAAAGGCGUAAUGAUUUGGGCACUGUCUCAACGAGAGACUCGGUGAAAUCAUAGUACCUGUGAAGAUGCAGGUUACCCGCGACAGGACGGAAAGACCCCGUGGAGCUUUACUGUAGCCUGAUAUUGAAAUUCGGCACAGCUUGUACAGGAUAGGUAGGAGCCUUUGAAACGUGAGCGCUAGCUUACGUGGAGGCGUUGGUGGGAUACUACCCUAGCUGUGUUGGCUUUCUAACCCGCACCACUUAUCGUGGUGGGAGACAGUGUCAGGCGGGCAGUUUGACUGGGGCGGUCGCCUCCUAAAAGGUAACGGAGGCGCCCAAAGGUUCCCUCAGAAUGGUUGGAAAUCAUUCGCAGAGUGUAAAGGUAUAAGGGAGCUUGACUGCGAGAGCUACAACUCGAGCAGGGACGAAAGUCGGGCUUAGUGAUCCGGUGGUUCCGCAUGGAAGGGCCAUCGCUCAACGGAUAAAAGGUACUCUGGGGAUAACAGGCUGAUACCGCCCAAGAGUUCAUAUCGACGGCGGUGUUUGGCACCUCGAUGUCGGCUCAUCUCAUCCUGGGGCUGAAGCAGGUCCCAAGGGUAUGGCUGUUCGCCAUUUAAAGAGGUACGCGAGCUGGGUUUAGAACGUCGUGAGACAGUUCGGUCCCUAUCUGCCAUGGGCGUUGGAAGUUUGAGAGGGGCUGCUCCUAGUACGAGAGGACCGGAGUGGACGAACCUCUGGUGUUCCGGUUGUCACGCCAGUGGCAUUGCCGGGUAGCUAUGUUCGGAAGAGAUAACCGCUGAAAGCAUCUAAGCGGGAAGCGCGCCUCAAGAUGAGACUUCCCGGGGCACAAGCCCCCUAAAGGAACCAUAUAGACUAUGUGGUUGAUAGGUCAGGUGUGUAAGUACAGCAAUGUAUUGAGCUAACUGAUACUAAUGAUCCGUGC
rnacentral:rRNA from 14 species